rnacentral:rRNA from 1 species
CAAUAGGGAAUCUUCCACAAUGGGCGAAAGCCUGAUGGAGCAACGCCGCGUGUGUGAUGAAGGGUUUCGGCUCGUAAAACACUGUUGUAAGAGAAGAAUGACAUUGAGAGUAACUGUUCAAUGUGUGACGGUAUCUUACCAGAAAGGAACGGCUAAAUACGUGCCA